ACCAACCAACCAAACAAACAAAAACUAUAUAACAAAACACUAUUUCUAGCGCUACAACAACAACCUAUGAUGUUACUGUUAGGAGAUAUUCUGUAAGGCUGAGAUUCCAGACAAGGAUCACAUGGACCAGAUCUGUAGAUGCCUGUGUUGUAAUCACUGAGAUUUGCGGUUGGGAGAUGGUGAGAGGUGGAAGAGCCAACUUGGACCAUCUUGUAACUGGAUGAAGAAGUGACACGCCGAGAAAGAUUCUACUUUGUAGAACUUUAAGAAAGGUCUUGGAGAAGUUCAAGCAUUUCAGCAAAAUGUCACCUGAGUCUGUCUCCAGGGAACAGACACAGCAGAACUACACACUUUACUGCCUGUGCAUGAAUUGAGGAACAGAUGUUCAGUGAUCAAUCACCAACAGACUUUGAAAAGAAGUGAUGUGAUUGCUUUCUAAUCAUGAGGCAUGUCUUUUACUUAUGUAGUGAUUUGUGGACUGAAGACCUAGCUGAGAAGUUAGUACUUCGUGUAAUGGUACUGAAUAUACUGUGGUAACUGAAAAUUGAAAAUUUGGAGGACGUGUGUUAUUUAACUGAUACGUGGUAACUGAAAUUUCUAUAUAUGAGAAUCAUGCAAAGUCAGGACUGCAUGUACUCUCUGCU